GACGAAGCGGCGAGUUCCUUUAAUUUCAGAUCAAGCGCUCCGAUCUUCUUUGAGAGUCGUACGGUCUGAUCUUGAUCUUGAUCAAGUACUCCCCGGUGACGCUAGUAUGGUUCCGAAUCGAUCUGGCGGUGGUGAAGAUAGAAUCUCGCCCGUCCAUUCUUUAAUGAUCAAAGAUCAUGACGGCUGAUCACUACAUCGGUCGCCGCUCGUGCGUGCUAUAUAAAUGAUGGUGGAUAUGUUGCCUAAUCCCCAUCCCUUCUCAUCGUACCGUCCCAUUUCUUCGAGGUCCCUUUGGUGCCGCUUUCCUCGAGAAGCCCUGCUCCUCCCUUUCGCAAGCUUCCCGACGCUGUUGCCACCACCCGAUGCGGAUCGUCGCCUUCUUCCCAGCCUCUCGAUGCCUUCCCUUGAGGUGGGCGUUGUUGCUGAGCUUCCUUGGGAUCCAGAUUCGGUUGGCUGCGGCCGAUCAGACCUGGAAACCCGAGUUUUGGUUUCCCGCUGAUUUUGAUGUGUUUACAAGGUAGUUCUGUCGAAGCCUUCACUCGACCGCCUCCUGCCCUCACAAGAACCUCACCUACACUACCGUGGUGGUCGCCGUCCACGCAACUGCUCCUCGGCCAGCGAUCUCUUCUCCUCGUUCCCACAUCUCACUCGAGUGAGAAGUGAUGUUGCCGCGCCACACAACCUCGUCGAGGUGCUCGACGUCGAUACUGCUUAUCCUGUUUCGUAGUGUUCUCCUAUCUGAGCUGGCAGUCGCUUGUCAUUUCCUCUAACUUGGCGCACCUCAGCAACAUUAAUCCAAAGCAACAAAGUAGUCACCUCCCGCCACAACCGUCACCACCUUCCUACGGCAACAGGAAUGAUUGCAAUUUUUACAGCUUCCAUCUGCAGUCGCUUUCCUUUGCCGUAGUAAUUUCUCUACCGCAGCAAGCUUCAGCAGCUGUAAUAGCUGUAGAUUUUUCCACCUAAUCGUUGCCGAUUUUUUUUCCAUCUAAUCGUAGUAGAUUUUUUUUUUCACCUAAUCACUGCAGAUUUCUCGCUCAUCGCUGCAGCUUCCUCGCCCAACGCUGCAGCUUCCUCUACAGUGCAUCGCGCUGCAGCCUCCUCUGCAAUUCAUCAUGCUGCAGCCUCCUCUGCAGUUCAUCGCUGUAGCCUCCUUUGUAAUUCAUCGUUGUAGCCUCCUCUGCAGUUCAUUGCUGCAGCCUCCUCUGUAGUUCAUUGCUGCAGCCUCCUCUAUAGCGCAUCGAUCUGCUUUCCUCCUCCUCCCUCCCUCUUAUAUCUUUACAUCUUCUGUAAAGAUCACUUAAACCGCCACAAAAUAUCUGGGAUGUCUUCAUUUUUCUCUUCCGAUAU